GCUGUAUAUUGAUACAUGUGAUUGUAUAUUGUCAAUACCUCAACAUCGUGAAUACGCCAUGUGAGGUGUUGGCUAUAUUUGAUCAUGUUUGAUACGGGGUCACCGGUUGCGACUUCGAAACAGAGAAAAAAAAUCUAGGUAAAAAAGUGUAGAAUUUUGUUGUUUAAAAUUUAUAAAAGUUGUACAUUCCUAAAAAAAAAAGUACUUAAUUCCGUUCAACUGCUAGCAUGUUGGUUCGAUACGAAAAUAGGAGAAAAAGCAUCCGGAAAAUUUGUGAUCAGUAAUUAUCAUUCGAAUAUAUAUAUGAAGAGCAAUGGGUACAAAAAAAAACUUUUUUUUUUUACUUUUGACAGCAUAAACCCCAGUUAUUAGCAAAC
rnacentral:lncRNA from 1 species